rnacentral:misc_RNA from 1 species
GUGAAUCAUCGAAUCUUUGAACGCACAUUGCGCCUCCCUUAACCGGGGGGCAUGCCUGUCUGAGCGUCAUUUAAACCUAUGGACCCGAAUGGGUUCCGUGUUGGGCCUCGCCUCUCUUCAAGGCGUCGCCUCGAAGGCAUCGGUUUCACAGAGCGGACGGGAUCCUUAUGGACUGACCGUUUCGUGACCGGAGUUUGACUCUGACUUGACCUCAGAUCAGGUAGGGACACCGCCUGAACUUAAGCAUAUCAAUAAGCGGAGGA